rnacentral:rRNA from 1 species
AAUCAACGCUGGCGGCGUGCCUCAGACAUGCAAGUCGAACGCGAAAGUUUCCUUCGGGGAGCGAGUAGAGUGGCGCACGGGUGAGUAACACGUAGGUAAUCUACCUUCGGAUGGGGAAUAACAAUCGGAAACGGUUGCUAAUACCGCAUAAUGCAGCGGCACCUAAUGGUGACAGUUGUUAAAGCGGGGGAUCGUAAGACCUCGCGUCUGAAGAGGAGCCUGCGGCGGAUAGCUUGUUGGUAAGGUAAUGGCUUACCAAGGCGACGAUCCGUAACCGGCCUGAGAGGGCGGUCGGUCACACUGACACUGACAUACGGGUCAGACUCCUACGGAGGCAGCAGUCGGGAAUUUUGGGCAAUGGGCGAAAGCCUGACCCA